rnacentral:lncRNA from 1 species
UCCGCGGCCACCUCUCCCGGCAGCAGAGGGGCCAGCUGGGCCAGCGGGAGAAAGGCUGAUUUUUACUCCUGAUUAGCAAUUGUGCGCGAGAGAUGUUUUCAGCUGAAAUAAUAUACAAGAGUUUCCCCAGAGAAAAUAUACACGCUCAGUUUUUUGGAACCACUUAACACAACCCGGUAGCAAGCAGACGUACAUUUGGAACCACAUAACACGUUUCUUGACUUGGAAGAACUGCCUGGUACAAAUUGAUGUCAUCACAAUAGAGAUUAAUGUGCCCGUUUUAUUAGCCUCACAGGCCGCAGGUGAAUGGUGAGCUAUUGUUAUUCAACUGGUUAAUAUUAUUUUUACAUAAAUCAAGGUAACGCCUAACAACGUCUUAAGUCUUUAAAUCAACCCGCCUUUUCCUAUUUGGAACAUGACGUUGGGCCCUUGCCAAGAGCGCCGGGAAACAGAGGGCCAAAAGUGGCAUUUCAAUAAGGAACGUACCCGUUCAACGACAGGAUGCCGGGCUCACGGCUCACAGCCCCUUGCCAACACACAAGCGAGUCUUGGGAGAAUUUCACAUUCGCGCUGACAGUGGCCUACGACUGCUGGAGGUUGGCUCCCAGCCCAGGACCCAGAACACAGCAGGAGCUCCAAGUGCCCUUUGAGUACCGAACAGAGAUGGUCAGCAACCUCUGGAGAUGUUCUCUCAUACUAGUCAAAACUUCUUGUCUUUACUUUUAAUUUUCAACAAACCAAUAAUGCUUCCUCAUUCGAAGGGGCUUUGCUCUUUUUGGAACUGACACUAGGAUCUGACUCUGUCUGUACUGUCCAUGUGGAUCCCAAAGAAAGACGUCUAGGACCAGCUGCCAACCCCAACCUCCUUUGGGUGAGGGUAUCUGCUUUGGCAAAAAUCUCAGGAACAACACUGAUUUUGCCAUGAAGAACUUCCAUGAAUUCCAAGUCUAAGAGCUUCAGGCUGGAAGGAAAUCAAGAUCAGAUGUGAUCAGAGACUACCCCAAUUUGACAGCACAUCACCAGAAAUAAGAGAACCCCUAUGGAGUUUUGGGUCCACACAGGCAUAUAGUUAACAAAAACCAAGGCCUGCAGAACCACAUCGAACUUCAAAACUUUUGUUCAUCAAAGGACACACUCAACACAGUGAAAAGAAAUAAGAGAAAAUAUUUACAAAUAUUAAUAUCCAGACUAUGUUGAGAACUCCUACAACUCAACAACAACAAAAAAUCAAAUAGC